rnacentral:rRNA from 1 species
UCUGGGACAAGCCCUGGAAACGGGGUCUAAUACCGGAUAACACUCUGUCCCGCAUGGGACGGGGUUGAAAGCUCCGGCGGUGAAGGAUGAGCCCGCGGCCUAUCAGCUUGUUGGUGGGGUGAUGGCCUACCAAGGCGACGACGGGUAGCCGGCCUGAGAGGGCGACCGGCCACACUGGGACUGAGACACGGCCCAGACUCCUACGGGAGGCAGCAGUGGGGAAUAUUGCACAAUGGGCGAAAGCCUGAUGCAGCGACGCCGCGUGAGGGAUGACGGCCUUCGGGUUGUAAACCUCUUUCAGCAGGGAAGAAGCGAAAGUGACGGUACCUGCAGAAGAAGCGCCGGCUAACUACGUGCCAGCAGCCGCGGUAAUACGUAGGGCGCAAGCGUUGUCCGGAAUUAUUGGGCGUAAAGAGCUCGUAGGCGGCUUGUUGCGUCGGUUGUGAAAGCCCGGGGCUUAACCCCGGGUCUGCAGUCGAUACGGGCAGGCUAGAGUGUGGUAGGGGAGAUCGGAAUUCCUGGUGUAGCGGUGAAAUGCGCAGAUAUCAGGAGGAACACCGGUGGCGAAGGCGGAUCUCUGGGCCAUUACUGACGCUGAGGAGCGAAAGCGUGGGGAGCGAACAGGAUUAGAUACCCUGGUAGUCCACGCCGUAAACGUUGGGAACUAGGUGUUGGCGACAUUCCACGUCGUCGGUGCCGCAGCUAACGCAUUAAGUUCCCCGCCUGG